rnacentral:rRNA from 1 species
AGAGUUUGAUCCUGGCUCAGGAUGAACGCUAGCGACAGGCCUAACACAUGCAAGUCGAGGGGCAGCACGGGAGUAGCAAUACAACUGGUGGCGACCGGCGCACGGGUGAGUAACACGUAUGCAACCUACCUGUAAGAGGGGAAUAACCCGGAGAAAUUCGGACUAACACCGCAUAAUACCGAUUAACUGCAUGGUUGAUCGGUUAAAUAUUUAUAGCUUACAGAUGGGCAUGCGUAACAUUAGAUAGUUGGUGAGGUAACGGCUCACCAAGUCAACGAUGUUUAGGGGUUCUGAGAGGAAGGUCCCCCACACUGGUACUGAGACACGGACCAGACUCCUACGGGAGGCAGCAGUGAGGAAUAUUGGUCAAUGGGCGAGAGCCUGAACCAGCCAAGUCGCGUGAAGGAAGAAUGUCCUAUGGAUUGUAAACUUCUUUUGUAAGGGAAUAAAAAAGAGUACGUGUACUCUAUUGUAUGUACUUUACGAAUAAGGAUCGGCUAACUCCGUGCCAGCAGCCGCGGUAAUACGGAGGAUCCGAGCGUUAUCCGGAUUUAUUGGGUUUAAAGGGUGCGUAGGCGGACCAAUUAGUCAGUGGUGAAAGUUUGCAGCUCAACUGUAAAAUUGCCAUUGAAACUGUUGGUCUUGAGUGUAAAUGAGGUAGGCGGAAUGUGUUGUGUAGCGGUGAAAUGCUUAGAUAUAACACAGAACACCAAUUGCGAAGGCAGCUUACUGGGAUACAACUGACGCUGAGGCACGAAAGCGUGGGGAUCAAACAGGAUUAGAUACCCUGGUAGUCCACGCCGUAAACGAUGGAUACUAGCUGUUGGGCGCAAGUUCAGUGGCUAAGCGAAAGUGAUAAGUAUCCCACCUGGGGAGUACGUUCGCAAGAAUGAAACUCAAAGGAAUUGACGG